rnacentral:rRNA from 1 species
UUGUAAUGCUGGCGUCUUCGGCGUCCGCAUUGUAAUCUCAAGAAGUGUUUUCCGCUUCGGACCAAGCCUAAGUCCCCUGGAAAGGGGCAUCAUAGAGGGUGAUAAUCCCGUACAUGGCUUGGAGCGCCCGAGGCUUUGUGAUACGCUUUCUAAGAGUCGAGUUGUUUGGGAAUGCAGCUCAAAAUGGGUGGUAAAUGCCAUCUAAGGCUAAAUAUUGGGGAGAGACCGAUAGCGAACAAGUACAGUGAUGGAAAGAUGAAAAGAACUUUGAAAAGAGAGUUAAACAGUACGUGAAAUUGCCAAAAGGGAAGGGUAGGAGGUCAGAGAUGCGGCCUGGGAUUCAGCCUUGCUUUUGCUUGGUGUUUUUCCCAGAUUGCAGGCCAACGUCGGUUUUGGGGAGGAACGUGGCACCCCUCGGGGUGUGUUAUAGCCUCCUACUGGAUACAGCGACCGAGACCGAGGACAGCAGCGUACUCGCAAGAGCGGGCCUUCGGGCACCUUUACGCUUAGGGCGUUGGCAUAAUGGCCCUCUACCACCCGUCUUGA